CCUACGGGGUGCUGCAGUGGGGAAUAUUGGACAAUGGGCGAAAGCCUGAUCCAGCCAUGCUGCGUGUGUGAAGAAGGCCUUCGGGUUGUAAAGCACUUUCAGUGGGGAAGAAAGCCUUGGGGCUAAUACCCUCGAGGAAGGACAUCACCCACAGAAGAAGCACCGGCUAACUCCGUGCCAGCAGCCGCGGUAAUACGGAGGGUGCGAGCGUUAAUCGGAAUUACUGGGCGUAAAGCGCGCGUAGGCGGUCUGAUAAGCCGGUUGUGAAAGCCCCGGGCUCAACCUGGGAACGGCAUCCGGAACUGUCAGGCUAGAGUGCAGGAGAGGAAGGUAGAAUUCCCGGUGUAGCGGUGAAAUGCGUAGAGAUCGGGAGGAAUACCAGUGGCGAAGGCGGCCUUCUGGACUGACACUGACGCUGAGGUGCGAAAGCGUGGGUAGCAAACAGGAUUAGAUACCCGUGUAGUC
rnacentral:rRNA from 1 species